rnacentral:rRNA from 1 species
GGGCCCGCACAAGCGGUGGAGCAUGUGGUUUAAUUCGAUGAUACGCGAGGAACCUUACCAGGGCUUAAAUGUAAGUUGCAUGAUUCAGAAAUGGAUCUUUCUUCGGACUACUUACAAGGUGCUGCAUGGUUGUCGUCAGCUCGUGCCGUGAGGUGUCAGGUUAAGUCCUAUAACGAGCGCAACCCUCGUCCUAUGUUGCCAGCACGUAAUGGUGGGAACUCAUGGGAUACUGCCGGGGUCAACUCGGAGGAAGGUGGGGAUGACGUCAAAUCAUCAUGCCCCUUAUGUCUUGGGCUUCACGCAUGCUACAAUGGCCGGUACAGAGGGCUGCAAUACCGCAAGGUGGAGCGAAUCCCAAAAAGCCAGUCUCAGUUCGGAUUGGAGUCUGCAACUCGACUCCAUG